UACAGAGGUCCCAAGCGUUGUUCGGAUUCACUGGGCGUAAAGGGUGCGUAGGUGGUGAGGAAAGUCGGAUGUGAAAUCUCCGGGCUUAACCCGGAAACUGCAUUGGAAACUACCUUGCUUGAGGGUUUGAGGGGGGACUGGAAUUCUCGGUGUAGCAGUGAAAUGCGUAGAUAUCGAGAGGAACACCGGUGGCGAAGGCGAGUCCCUGGAAAACACCUGACACUGAGGCACGAAAGCUAGGGGAGCAAACAGG
rnacentral:rRNA from 1 species